AGAAUGAACGUUGGCGGCGUGGAUUAGGCAUGCAAGUCGGACGGGGCCGCAAGGUACCCGUGGCGCAAGGGUGAGUAAGGCGACGGUAACCAACCCCCCGGAUGGGUCUAGCCGCGGGAAACCGCGAGUAAUCCCCAGCGACGCGACGAGGCGGCAUCGCCUGGUCGCCAAAGGUGUGAGUCCGCCGGGGGACGGGCCGUCGUGGUAUCAGCUAGUUGGUGGGGUGAUGGCCCACCAAGGCGUUGACGCCUACCGGGCGUGCGAGCGUGGCCCGGCACACUGGGACUGAGACACUGCCCAGACUCCUGCGGGAGGCUGCAGUCGAGAAUCUUCGGCAAUGGGCGCAAGCCUGACCGAGCGACGCCGCGUGGAGGACGAAGGCCUUCGGGUUGUAAACUCCUGUCGAGGGGAGGAAGGGCGUGUGCAGAGCACGUCUUGACCGAUCCCUGGAGGAAGCACGGGCUAAGUUCGUGCCAGCAGCCGC
rnacentral:rRNA from 1 species